rnacentral:rRNA from 1 species
GAUGAACGCUGGCGGCGUGCCUAAUACAUGCAAGUCGAGCGAACGGACGAGAAGCUUGCUUCUCUGAUGUUAGCGGCGGACGGGUGAGUAACACGUGGAUAACCUACCUAUAAGACUGGGAUAACUUCGGGAAACCGGAGCUAAUACCGGAUGAUAUUUUGAACCGCAUGGUUCAAAAGUGAAAGACGGUCUUGCUGUCACUUAUAGAUGGAUCCGCGCUGCAUUAGCUAGUUGGUAAGGUAACGGCUUACCAAGGCAACGAUGCAUAGCCGACCUGAGAGGUGGAUCGGCCACACUGGAACGGAGACCCGGUCAGGACUCCUACGGGAGGCAGCGUUAGGGAAUCUUCCGCAAUGGGCGAAAGCCGGACGGGGCAACGCGGCGUGAGUAAUGAAGGUCUUCGGAUCGUAAAACUCUGUUAUUAGGGAAGAACAAAUGUGUAAGUAACUGUGAACAUCUUGACGGUACCUAAUCAGAAAGCCACGGCUAACUACGU